UACGGGGGGGGGCAAGCGUUGUUCGGAAUUACUGGGCGUAAAGGGCUCGUAGGCGGCCAACUAAGUCGGACGUGAAAUCCCCAGGCUCAACCUGGGAACUGCGUCCGAUACUGGAUGGCUUGAAUUCGGGAGAGGGAUGCAGAAUUCCAGGUGUAGCGGUGAAAUGCGUAGAUAUCUGGAGGAAUACCGGUGGCGAAGGCGGCAUCCUGGACCGGCAUUGACGCUGAGGAGCGAAAGCCAGGGAGCAAACGGG
rnacentral:rRNA from 1 species